UCACCUCUCUGGCCUAAAAAGCUCAGGUGACUUCCAGUAGCGAGGGUCCAUGUGCAGCAGGUGCGCAGGAAUCCCAACCAGAGUUCCUUCAGGGAUGGUGAUGCCGUUGAUCUGCACAGUUUUCUUGCAGGCCCUUUCAAGUCGAGGUG